rnacentral:lncRNA from 1 species
UUGGGCUAAUUAGGCCUUUGUGAAUCAUUAUUCAUUAAGUUGUCAUACAACUUAAGUCAAUGGACUUGACGUUCGAAGUCCAUUGGGCUUUAAGGUCCAAAACUAUCCCCUAGGUCUUUAAUGAACUUAUUCGUUUGAUUAAUUAACAUAUUAAUUAAUCAUUGCCAUAAAUAAAUGAUUAAACCAUUUAAUCAUUCUUACUCAUCUCCGUUUAAUCUCCAAUCUCCACCUCUUAUGGUGUGCGAUCCAUUAGGUUCCUUUUAGCGAGGCAGUGGGCAAUUAAAACCAUUUUACAUCGAUUGUGAAUUGAAACUUACUUUCAAUUCUCCCUUUAGUGAUUACACACGUUUAGGGCUUCCACAAACCAUGAGUGACACCUAGCAGCAUAUCAUGGUUACCCAAGCUAAUCAGAAGAGGUUAGAGAACCUAUUCAGUUUGGGAUUACAAAUGCAAUACGGUCUUUCUCUAAUCUAAUACUCUUGACCACAUUGUUUGGUUUGAUAGUUUAUAAGUUCAUGUCUACUAUCCAAUGUGAUUCGUGUGCUUAUAUGAUUUCAUUGAAUGUGAUUUAGAACGACUUUUCUAAAUCUCAUUCAUACUCUGGCCAGAGAUUUUAAAUCAUAUCAUAGAGUAUUCUCCCUCAAACAGUUUGAAGGUUAGAGAUCCCUUGUUGCGCAUUCACUUGUCUCCAUGGCUAAGUGGCUUAACCCCAACGAUACCGUGGACACCCUCAUGAUGGAGUGACUUUGACAUAAUCAAAGAUCAAGGACUUAACCACAAGACAACUAUGAUGCCUCAGGUCAAAGGACUACUUUGCAUUAUCCCAACCAUGAGUUCUCAUGUGACAUGAGUAUGAGAACUCUUCGUCGAUCACGUUCAGUGAACUCAUUCUCUAUUGAGCACCUACGUACUUGUCUUGAUGUCACACACACCAAUGACUCGAGACUAGUCACUCUCCCUGAGAGAAGACACAGUACGUACCGAUCUUAACGGACUGUCAAUGCCCAAUUGACAAUCCUAUGAUCAGGAACAUUUAGGAUGUGUCUACGAAAGAAUGGUCUCAUGAAUCUAACUUCAUUAAAUUGCAUUCUCCCAAUCACAUAUUCCUUGGACUUUAUCGUUUAAGCAUAUAACAUUUAUAUGAGACGGCUCAAACAAUAAUCUUUGCCCUUUAUAUUAAACUAGAUUAGUUUAACAUGUGAAAUGUCCGUAAAGUAUCAUCACAUGAUUGGUUUUAGGGCACAUUUCCAACAAUCUCCCACUUGCACUAGAGCCAAUCAGCUUGGUCAUCAGUGAUGAUACCUCUUCUGUAGUCAUUUCAUAAAUGGCUGAGUAGUAGGCCUAGACAAUGGAUAUCUAUAUGUUAUCCAUAGAAGCAACCUUGAGAAUAACGACGUCACCAUUAUACAUGAUUCUCAAUCAUGUGGUUCAGUCUCUCAUAUGAGUUCGGAUCUUGAUGAGACCUUGAUUCCCUGGCUUGAGCUAUCGCCCCAUUAGUGUCAUAGUGUCAGUACACUAGAUACACUUUCUGGUUGGAACCGAAUAGAGAGUUCAUAAAUGAAUUUUCCCAUCCAAACAAUAUUGUUGUAAACUUCUAUAUGGCAAUAUAUUUUGCAUUCAUAAUAGAACACACUAAAGUCAUUACUUUAAUGUUUCCAUCUAAAUAUCUCUUUAGUCAUAAUAAAGAGAUAUCUGUUUAUCUCUUCAUUCAUAAUGAAGAAACAUCCAAUGAUGGAUUAGAUUCAUAAUCUAAUACAUUUACGCUUCCAUUACGUUACUCUAAUUCUUCCUCGAUCUUUGAGGAAUUUAUCCUUUAGUAUUUCUUAAAUACUUUAGGAUUCACUUGACAAUUGCCAUGGUUCUGAUCCUGGGCUUGCACUGAUAUCAUCUUGUACCGUUCUAGGUACAACUUAUAUCAAUGUUUUUCAUACAAUAUGAAAUACAUAAAUCACCUUUAUGCGUAUGCAUAAAUGAUUCUAUUUACGCAUUAUUUCUUUGGGAGUCAAGGGUACGUUCCCUUUGAGAAGGGCAACUUGCUAGUCACACUAGAGUCAUCCUUCUAAUUGAAGUUUAUCAUCAUAUGAGAAACUUCCUAGCAACUUUUGUCUAUUAUUAGGGAUUAAUAUAAUCAAAUUAUAUAUUGAAAUCUAUCAAUAUAGAUUUCCAUCCCAUGUAUAUAGACUAUGUCUCCCAUAUACAUUCUAUCUUCAUAUAAUGUUUAAAGUCAUAACUUUAACGAAGAAAUAUUCUUUUCAUUUCCAAAAUUAAUAUAUCAUAUAUACAUUCAUAUAUAUCACAUAUAUAUUUAUAUAUAUAUAUAUAUAUAUAUAUAUAUAUAUAUACAAAUUUAGGAAUAUCAUUAACUCCCACUAAUCUUUUGUAAACCUAGUAAACAAAAGAUUCAUUUACAUCUUUAUGAGAAAUCAAACGAUUUGACCUUUCUCUCAUAAGAUGCUUAUAGCUCCCACUAGCUUGCUAAGAUCCAUGAUGGAUGGAUCUCUACAACUUAUAUGUCUUGUGAUUCAUAGUUUUAGACAUAUAUAUAUUAUCAAGACUAUCUUAAUAAUGGUUUCGGAAACCUAUAUUAUGUCCAAACAUUGAAUCACCAUUUAGUUGUAGCUAGCAAUCUUCGAAUUAAUUGAAACUAAGACUAUGUCAAAAAUGGUUCCUUCAAAGUCAACCAUUCUCUUUGAUUGUAGUCACCUUAAGCUACCAAUUAGCUUAUGAAGGUUUCAUUAUUUCGGGUCAAAUGGUACUUUACCAUUUCUUUGAGUAUAUAUCGUAUAUACACUCAAUGUAGUCAUAAGGAUUCUCAUUCUUAUUUCUUUCGAAUUAAGAGGUGCAACUCUAUGACAUAGUCAUAAAGUUCAAACCAUUCAACUGAGACGGUUUAUAAAUCCUUCUCGACUACCUUGGAGCUUGUGGUAUGGGAACUAGGUUGUUAUAUUUGUUGAUUAUUAUCUUGUCUCUCAAAGAACCCAUUCUUUGAGUUCUAUCUUUCGUUCAUUUGCUUUUAGGCAAAUCACAUUGUAGGAUUACAAUGAACCAUCCAACAAAACAACAUUUGUUAGUUGGUUUAUAGAAGCGAUAUCCAAAAAUUAAUUUAAGGAUAUCCUACAAGAUUGUUAUCAAACAAAUAUUGCUUAUAAGCUCACAACCCCAAAUCUUAACAUGUUUUAAGAUUUUGUCUUUCUUUCCAACUACAUCUUAUGGAGUCAUGAAAAUCUUGGAAGAUCUUCUAAUUGACAAUCAUAUUGUCUUAGAAGUAUAUAUCCUAUAUAUGGGUAAUAGAUAACAACCAACGAACUAAAUCUUAUUCGAGUUCGUUCUUCUCUUAAUGGAGAAAUUCAUUAUCUUAUGAUGCUAUUUUCCUUGAUAUCUUUCAAGGAAACUCAUCUAAAGUGUUACUUUUCCUUGGAUCAAAUCUAAGGAGGUAAAUACUUUAGAUGUCUUACUCAUCAACUUACAUUUCUUAAAUUCUUUGAAACAUUUUGCAAAGUAUUCGGACUUGUGUUUAUUCAAAAUAAACUAUAGUCCAACCGAGAGUGAUCUUCGGUGAAUGUCAUACAACAUGAGUAGUAUUAUGUUGUGGACAAGUGCCACUAACAUCUAAGUGAAUUAACCUUAACAACUUUGUGAUUCUUUCUUCUUUCCAAAAGAAUAAAGAUUCGAACAUUUCGCCUCUAUACAAUUUUAACAAGAAGGUAUUGGAUCCGGAUCUAACAAUCCAAAGCAUCCAUCUAUGACCAACUCGUAAUUUAUGUUUUAGAGGUAUCACAACUCAGUUGGGAUUAGUCACUACCUUGCAACCUUUUGGGUUUUAAGCAUCAUUGUAUUCUAAACAGUUAACACUACCAUAUCAUCUCUACUAUAGAGACAAUCAAUUAGAUUACUAUAAUCCAAUCAUUGAUUAAUAAAGAACAAUGUUUUGUCAAACAAAACAUUCAUCCAUCUCUACUAUAGUGACGGAAUUAAAUUCCUUAAAAUUGGAAUGUAAAGACAAUCUUUGGUUUUUCCAAUUUCUUUGGUAGUUCAUAUGAGGAAGUAAGUACUAUUUGCUUUCGCAGAGAUCUUUAUUUUAUUCACGUUCCGAAUGUGAAGCACCUUUUUCUUCUCUCAUAUAUCUUCUACUUCUUAUUAGUCACACUUUUUACAACGAUUGUAAAACAUAGUUACUAAUACGGAAUCAAGCAUUCAAGUAGAAGAACCAACUGUUUUGAACUAUUUAAGAACAAUUUACAACACUUUCGAAAGAUGUGUUCUUGACACUUGCAAGACAUUUCUUGCAAAUACCCCUUCCAAUGUCCAUCCUUUCAUAAAGAAAGUUUGUUCCCUUGGAGUUAAUUUUAUCUUCUUCAUUUGACUUCUCCUUUGACUACAAUAGUCAUGGUCCCUAAACUCCCACUAUCUCUCUUGAAACCUUUUUCAAUUGUGUUAUACACAUCAAACAUUUUGGAGAGCAUGUGUUUAUUGUUCACUACAUAGUUUACAAUAAACUUAGUGAACCAUUAGGAUAGGGACACAUAGGUGAAGUCCUUGCCUAGUUUCCGUGUCGUUAAGUGGUUUAUCACUUCAACACUCAAUGAUUCAAAAUCAUCAUAAGUCCAUGUUAAUGGACUAUUUUUGUCAACCAACCAUUAUGUUCUAAACAUAAUUACAAACUUUCAAGAGUUGUACAAGGCAACUCUCAUUUCUUCAUACAACAAUUUGUAAGUGAAGAAUCAUGGCACAUUAAGUGUCCAUGCCUUUGUGCUUUCUUCUCAAGUUCUUUGUUCAUAUAACAAAGAAACAAGCACUAGUGUUUGCAUUGACUAAGGGUUGUUCAAGGCAACUCUUAUUUCUUCAUAUAACAAUUUGUAAGUGAAGAAUCAUGGCACAUUAAGUGUCCAUGCCUUUGUGCUUUCUUCUCAAGUUCUUUGUUCAUAUAACAAAGAAACAAGCACUAGUGUUUGCAUUGACUAAGGGUUGUUCAAAGCAAUUCUUAUUUCUUCAUACAACAAUUUGUAAUUGAAGAAUAAUGACAUUAAAAGUGUUGUCCUCUUUAUGAUAGACCUUUUCUAACAUAUUCUUCUAAUGAUACAUUAUCAAUAGGAAGAUUGUGAGGAUGAGACUACUUAGGUACAUUUACAAGCCAUUAAAGACAAUCUAUGGUUUUAUAGUACCAAGUCCGGAAACUAAACUUUCGGCUUUAUUUGUCAAGUGUUGGAUAGCGUUUGCAAAUAUAUUGGUAAACAAAUACAUAACGAAUAUAAAUUGAUUGAUUUUAAGCCAUUUGAUUCGGGUCUUUAAAUCAAAUAGCACCACCCACUAUUUUUGGCAAAUUCCAUAUCCCUCAUUGGAAUUCGAGAGUUUUGGAUGAAACUCUUAGUAGGUUAUGGGAGGCUCACUAUUACCAAGCCCACCUCAGAAGAACUCCAUAUUGGCUAGCAACAAUAAUAAUGAGAGAGUACGCUUACUCAUUUGCAACUAAUGCAAGUACCCAUCUUAUUUGGCCUCUAGAGAAUGAUGCCUCAGAAGAACUCCAUAUUGGCACCAUUGCACUUAGUUAAGUCAUUCCCACCAUGCUAGUUUAAGUAGGGGUUCAAGAAUGGCCUCAGAAGAAUAUCAUAUUGACCACACUCGUUGCCUACCUUCACUUCAUCAUAUGUGUAUAGGCUUCUCCUGAAUGUAAGCACAUACUUUGCAACCCCAGAACUGGACGAAUACGUUGUAUGAGUCACAAACGAUUGAAGCCCACCACGGUGGAAGGCCACGAAAGAGUGUUCAAAGCACUCUCACGCUUUUCAACUUAAUAAUGGUUUGGUUGAGGGUUUUAGGUCUCAUCACAUAUAAAUAUACAUUUUAAUCUCUAUUAAAACAAUUUUGGUCCUAUUACAACUAUUGGUCCAUCUCAUUGUUUUAGUUGUAUAUAAUACUCCCACUAUGCUUUUAAAAACGGUUUUUAAAGCAAGAGUAUAUGAUACUACUAACAUAAACUUUGCAUUCAUUUAAUGGACUAUAUAGUUGCCUUAGGGCCUUAGGAUGACUAUGAACCUUUGUUUAGAUUCAACACGAGCCUAGUGUUGAAUCUCGGUCUAGGAAUGGUGAUUGAUUUUAGUUACGCGUUUAAUCACAUUAAGGCGUGUUGUCUUAGGGGCGUUGGACCCAACUACUUCAUUUUCAUGCAUAUCAAAUAAAGCAAGAAAGAAGUACUUCAAAGUAAAGGUGAGCUUAUGCUCAUUACAACAUUUGCAUAUAACAAAUUACUUUAAAGUAAAGAAGAGCUUAAGCCCUUUUACAACAUUUGAUCAAAUCAAAUUACAACCAAAAUUAAUCUACACAUUCCCAUGGUUCAAACAAAUUUGAAACGGCCUAUCACAUAGCUCAAUUAUAUUAGGCUUAGGUUCAUAAUCACCCUUUAAUUAAUUAACACUUUAACUAAUUAAAUUGAAUGCAACAUUUUCAUUUGGUUUUUGUAUCCAUAAAAUUGAUUUAAAUGGAGCUAAACAAAAUGAAAAUCCAAUUCUCUUUUAAAGAGACAAAACAAUUUUGUUCUCAAUCUAAUUUGGGCCAUCAUGCAAUAACCACAACUUAUUUGGGUAAUAAAGCAAUUAACCUCAACUUUUGGGCUAUAUUGCAAAACUUUUGGGGUCACUUUGUAAGGACACAAAAGUCCACUACUUCAUGUAAUUACAAUAGAACCCAAAAUUUAAUCAAUGCAAAAACUUCAUUAAAGGAGCAAAACAAUUUGUCCUUUAGCGUUUUUGGACCUAAACGUAAAAACGUAAACUUUUGGGCCAAAGUGCAAAUACACAAAAGUAUCAAAACUUUAUGUAAUUGCAUAAAAGGCCCCAAAAGUACCCCCACUAGGGGGUGGCCGGUUUUGGAAGAGGAUAUGAGUGAUGUGUGUGUUGAUUUGUGAGUUUUGACAUACAGCAUGCAAGUGCACAAGUGGUGUGUGUGAAAGGGUUUUAAUCCUUUCACACCCACCAUUAUUUCUAUUGCCAUUUAAACAAAUAUCUAAAACAUUUAAACAUUUGAAAAAGCAUAAAACAUAAACUUUAUGAAAUAAAUCAAAACUUUGAAUCAAAACACAAACCUUUUUGUUCUUGGCAAAAAUGUCAAGAACAAUGAAGAACAUUCAUGAAAAAACUCAAAAUUUUCCAUGAACAUUUUUCACCCAAAAACAUUCCAAAACCAUUCAAACUUUAGGGAAAUAACAUCUAACCAAACUAGGGUACAUAGGGGUUCCAAAAGUCACUUGAAAACACUUUUAACAAGUCAAACAAGAACCCAAAAAUCCACCCUUUGGAUUUGGCCGAAAAUCCCCAAAGUCAUGGCACCAAAUUUUAGCUCCAAUAUUCAUGCUCUUAUGAACUACAUCUACAACAUUUGAGAUGGCAAAUUUUCUAACAAAAUUUACAUUCAAAGAAACAAGAAUAAAGCUUGUAACAAUUACAACUUUUAAAUCACAAACUAUGAACUACAAAACCCAAAAGGAUUCACCAACUACUAGACCUAGGCUCUGAUACCACUUGAAGGAAUAUUUUGUGAAAACAUGUUCAUUUAAGCAACAUCUAUAAGCAUGCAAUUAACAAUUAAAGGCGGAAUCAUGCUUGCAUGCACUUAAAAACAAAACAUUAACCAUGAAAUUCAAAGCCUAGUAGAUUGGUGAACCAAAACUCAACUCAAAACAAAGUGAGUUGAAAUUGUACCUUUGUAGAUUCCUCUUUGCAUAAGCAAAGGCUAAUCACCCAAAGAGAGGGCCUUCAUUCCUUGCAUCUAAAAUCUAUGGAUUUGGAUGGAAGAAUAGGUUUCUCCAAGUUCCCAAAAUUGAGAACCUCUAAGUCUCUUCACCAAGGAGAUAUUGGAGAAAAAAAUGAGUGACCUUGGAGUAGUAGGAUUGCUAGAUGUACCCCCCAAGGUGGCCGGCCUCUUUAGAGAGAAAUGGAGAGACAUGUUCUCUCCAAUUUUCCCCAAAACAAACCCUAAUGAAUUUUAGGCUAUAAAGUCAUAUACCUUUAUUCAUUUGAGUGGCAAACUUGUAAAUAAGUCAAAGUUCACUACCCUUAGCAUCAUGGCCGGCCCUAGGGUAUUUUGGCUAAUUAAGUGAAUCAUAUUCAUUGCCUUUGGAAUGUCAUUUGUGGCUUAAAAUUAGGCCUUUGUGAAUAAUUAUUCAUUAAGUUGUCAUACAAAACUUAAGUCAAUGGACUUGACGUUCGAAGUCCAUUGGGCUUUAAGGUCCAAAACUAUCCCCUAGGUCUUUAACGAACUUAUUCGUUUGAUUAACAUAAUUAUAUUAAUAAUCAUUGCCAUAAAUAAAUGAUUAAAACCAUUUAAUCAUUCUUACUCAUCUCCGUUUAAUCUCCAAUCUCCACCUCUUAUGGUGUGCGAUCCAUUAGGUUCCUUUUAGCGAGGCAGUGGGCGAUUAAAACCAUUUUACAUCGAUUGUGAAUUGAAACUUACUUUCAAUUCUCCCUUUAGUGAUUACACACGUUUAGGGCUUCCACAAACCAUGAUGAGUGACACCUAGCAGCAUA